rnacentral:rRNA from 2 species
AUUGAACGCUGGCGGCAUGCCUUACACAUGCAAGUCGAACGGCAGCACGGGGGCAACCCUGGUGGCGAGUGGCGAACGGGUGAGUAAUACAUCGGAACGUGUCCUGGAGUGGGGGAUAGCCCGGCGAAAGCCGGAUUAAUACCGCAUACGCUCUAUGGAGGAAAGCGGGGGAUCUUCGGACCUCGCGCUCAAGGGGCGGCCGAUGGCGGAUUAGCUAGUUGGUAGGGUAAAGGCCUACCAAGGCGACGAUCCGUAGCUGGUCUGAGAGGACGACCAGCCACACUGGGACUGAGACACGGCCCAGACUCCUACGGGAGGCAGCAGUGGGGAAUUUUGGACAAUGGGGGCAACCCUGAUCCAGCAAUGCCGCGUGUGUGAAGAAGGCCUUCGGGUUGUAAAGCACUUUUGUCCGGAAAGAAAUCCUCUGGGUUAAUACCUCGGGGGGAUGACGGUACCGGAAGAAUAAGCACCGGCUAACUACGUGC